rnacentral:rRNA from 1 species
GACGAACGCUGGCGGCGUGCCUAACACAUGCAAGUCGAGCGGAGUCGAUCGACGGAAGCCUUCGGGCGGAAGAUGGUUGACUUAGCGGCGGAUGGGUGAGUAACGCGUGGGCAACCUGCCUCGAAGACCGGGAUAACAGCCCGAAAGGGCUGCUAAUACCGGAUGUGGUCAAGGAUCCGCAUGGAUUUUUGAUUAAAGGGGAAACCCGUUUCGAGAUGGGCCCGCGUCCUAUCAGCUAGUUGGUGAGGUAAAAGCUCACCAAGGCGACGACGGGUAGCCGGCCUGAGAGGGUGACCGGCCACACUGGAACUGAGACACGGCCCAGACUCCUACGGGAGGCAGCAGUAGGGAAUAUUGCGCAAUGGGCGAAAGCCUGACGCAGCGACGCCGCGUGGGUGAUGAAGGCCUUCGGGUUGUAAAACCUGUCCUUGGGAAGAAGGAAGUGACGGUACCAACGGAGGAAGCCCGGCUAACUACGUG